rnacentral:rRNA from 1 species
CCUACGGGAGGCAGCAGUAGGGAAUCUUCCACAAUGGGCGAAAGCCUGAUGGAGCAACGCCGCGUGGGUGAAGAAGGUCUUCGGAUCGUAAAACCCUGUUGUUAGAGAAGAAAGUGCGUGAGAGUAACUGUUCACGUUUCGACGGUAUCUAACCAGAAAGCCACGGCUAACUACGUGCCAGCAGCCGCGGUAAUACGUAGGUGGCAAGCGUUAUCCGGAUUUAUUGGGCGUAAAGGGAACGCAGGCGGUCUUUUAAGUCUGAUGUGAAAGCCUUCGGCUUAACCGGAGUAGUGCAUUGGAGACUGGGAGACGUGAGUGCAGAAGAGGGGAGUGGAACUCCAUGUGUAGCGGUGAAAUGCGUAGAUAUAUGGAAGAACACCAGUGGCGAAGGCGGCUCUCUGGUCUGUAACUGACGCUGAGGUUCGAAAGCGUGGGUAGCAAACAGGAUUAGAUACCCCGGUAGUC